rnacentral:rRNA from 1 species
UUAGAGUUUGAUCCUGGCUCAGGACGAACGCUGGCGGCGUGCCUAAUACAUGCAAGUCGAGCGAGCGGAACUAACAGAUUUACUUCGGUAAUGACGUUAGGAAAGCGAGCGGCGGAUGGGUGAGUAACACGUGGGGAACCUGCCCCAUAGUCUGGGAUACCACUUGGAAACAGGUGCUAAUACCGGAUAAGAAAGCAGAUCGCAUGAUCAGCUUUUAAAAGGCGGCGUAAGCUGUCGCUAUGGGAUGGCCCCGCGGUGCAUUAGCUAGUUGGUAAGGUAAAGGCUUACCAAGGCGAUGAUGCAUAGCCGAGUUGAGAGACUGAUCGGCCACAUUGGGACUGAGACACGGCCCAAACUCCUACGGGAGGCAGCAGUAGGGAAUCUUCCACAAUGGACGCAAGUCUGAUGGAGCAACGCCGCGUGAGUGAAGAAGGUUUUCGGAUCGUAAAGCUCUGUUGUUGGUGAAGAAGGAUAGAGGUAGUAACUGGCCUUUAUUUGACGGUAAUCAACCAGAAAGUCACGGCUAACUACGUGCCAGCAGCCGCGGUAAUACGUAGGUGGCAAGCGUUGUCCGGAUUUAUUGGGCGUAAAGCGAGCGCAGGCGGAAGAAUAAGUCUGAUGUGAAAGCCCUCGGCUUAACCGAGGAACUGCAUCGGAAACUGUUUUUCUUGAGUGCAGAAGAGGAGAGUGGAACUCCAUGUGUAGCGGUGGAAUGCGUAGAUAUAUGGAAGAACACCAGUGGCGAAGGCGGCUCUCUGGUCUGCAACUGACGCUGAGGCUCGAAAGCAUGGGUAGCGAACAGGAUUAGAUACCCUGGUAGUCCAUGCCGUAAACGAUGAGUGCUAAGUGUUGGGAGGUUUCCGCCUCUCAGUGCUGCAGCUAACGCAUUAAGCACUCCGCCUGGGGAGUACGACCGCAAGGUUGAAACUCAAAGGAAUUGACGGGGGCCCGCACAAGCGGUGGAGCAUGUGGUUUAAUUCGAAGCAACGCGAAGAACCUUACCAGGUCUUGACAUCUAGUGCCAUUUGUAGAGAUACAAAGUUCCCUUCGGGGACGCUAAGACAGGUGGUGCAUGGCUGUCGUCAGCUCGUGUCGUGAGAUGUUGGGUUAAGUCCCGCAACGAGCGCAACCCUUGUUAUUAGUUGCCAGCAUUAAGUUGGGCACUCUAAUGAGACUGCCGGUGACAAACCGGAGGAAGGUGGGGAUGACGUCAAGUCAUCAUGCCCCUUAUGACCUGGGCUACACACGUGCUACAAUGGGCAGUACAACGAGAAGCGAGCCUGCGAAGGCAAGCGAAUCUCUGAAAGCUGUUCUCAGUUCGGACUGCAGUCUGCAACUCGACUGCACGAAGCUGGAAUCGCUAGUAAUCGCGGAUCAGCACGCCGCGGUGAAUACGUUCCCGGGCCUUGUACACACCGCCCGUCACACCAUGGGAGUCUGCAAUGCCCAAAGCCGGUGGCCUAACCUUCGGGAAGGAGCCGUCUAAGGCAGGGCAGAUGACUGGGGUGAAGUCGUAACAAGGUAACCGUA